rnacentral:rRNA from 1 species
UGGGGAAUUUUGGGCAAUGGGCGAAAGCCUGAUCCAGCCAUGCCGCGUGCAGGAUGAAGGCCUUCGGGUUGUAAACUGCUUUUGUACGGAACGAAAAGACUCUGGUUAAUACCUGGGGUCCAUGACGGUACCGUAAGAAUAAGCACCGGCUAACUACGUGCCAGCAGCCGCGGUAAUACGUAGGGUGCAAGCGUUAAUCGGAAUUACUGGGCGUAAAGCGUGCGCAGGCGGUUAUAUAAGACAGAUGUGAAAUCCCCGGGCUCAACCUGGGAACUGCAUUUGUGACUGUAUAGCUAGAGUACGGCAGAGGGGGAUGGAAUUCCGCGUGUAGCAGUGAAAUGCGUAGAUAUGCGGAGGAACACCGAUGGCGAAGGCAAUCCCCUGGGCCUGUACUGACGCUCAUGCACGAAAGCGUGGGGAGCAAACAGGAUUAGAUACCCUGGUAGUCCACGCCCUAAACGAUGUCAACUGGUUGUUGGGUCUUCACUGACUCAGUAACGAAGCUAACGCGUGAAGUUGACCGCCUGGGGAGUACGGCCGCAAGGUUG